rnacentral:rRNA from 1 species
UACGAAGGGGGCUAGCGUUGUUCGGAAUUACUGGGCGUAAAGCGCACGUAGGCGGACAUUUAAGUCAGGGGUGAAAUCCCGGGGCUCAACCCCGGAACUGCCUUUAAUACUGGGUGUCUAGAGUAUGGAAGAGGUGAGUGGAAUUCCGAGUGUAGAGGUGAAAUUCGUAGAUAUUCGGAGGAACACCAGUGGCGAAGGCGGCUCACUGGUCCAUUACUGACGCUGAGGUGCGAAAGCGUGGGGAGCAAACAGG